rnacentral:rRNA from 1 species
UACAGAGGGUGCGAGCGUUGUCCGGAAUCACUGGGCGUAAAGGGCGCGUAGGCGGUCCCCUAAGUGUGUGGUGAAAGCUCGGGGCUCAACCCCGAGUCGGCCGUGCAAACUGGGGGACUCGAGCAUGUCAGAGGCAGGCGGAAUUCCGGGUGUAGCGGUGGAAUGCGUAGAGAUCCGGAAGUACACCGGUUGCGAAGGCGGCCUUUUGGGACAUGGCUGACGCUGAGGUGCGACAGCGUGGGGAGCAAACAGG